rnacentral:rRNA from 1 species
CACGGGGGGAGCAAGCGUUGUUCGGAAUCACUGGGCGUAAAGGGCGUGUAGGCGGUUAUGUAAGUGGGAUGUGAAAUGCCUCGGCUUACCCGGGGACCUGCAUGCCAUACUGCGUGACUUGAGUACGGGAGAGGAUGAGGGAAUUCCUGGUGUAGCGGUGAAAUGCGUAGAUAUCAGGAGGAACACCAACGGCGAAGGCAGCUCGCUGGGACGGUACUGACGCUGAGGCGCGAAAGCGUGGGGAGCGAACAGG